UUCCACGCAAAAACAAUAAUAAACGGAGAAAUCCUCACGAUCCCUAAAUCCCGCAGAUUAUCCUCGCACCCGUUUCCUUCCUCCACUCCCGUCGCCGCCGUUUCCUUAUUCGUCGCCCGAUUAGUCCUCGCCAUUCUUCACCACGCCGUGGAUGAGCUGCUCACCUCCCCUUCGUCCCUGGGCUUCUUGUGGAAGGCUGAGCUGUCGAUCUGUCUGCAGCGGUAGCAUAUCCUCCCUCAGGCGGCCAUGAUGGCCUUCUUAGAUCGAUGCUUCCUAUAAAUCCGCUACGUGCUUGUACUUGCGUAUGGAUUGGCAAUACAAGCAUGCUUCUCAGACACAUCCACCAGAUUCCAAAUGAGCUUCUUUGUUGUCCGCAAGAUGGGAUGCAAUGACGUUGAAUGUGCUAUAACUGAGACAAAUGAGUCACUGUUCUAAGUUGUCUGUUGUACUGGAACAACAGUUGUCCAUGACCAGCUUGUGAAAAGUAUUGCUGUAAUAGGCUUCUGUUUAAUUGCAAAGAGAAUUGUAAUAUUUUCUGCUUACCAUAUCAAACAAAUUCGAGGCUUAA